UACGGAGGGUGCGAGCGUUAUCCGGAAUCACUGGGUUUAAAGGGUGCGUAGGCGGGAUAUUAAGUCAGUGGUGAAAUCUUGUCGCUUAACGAUAAAAUUGCCAAUGAUACUGGUAUUCUUGAAUUGGGUUGAGGUUAGCGGAAUGUGGCAUGUAGCGGUGAAAUGCAUAGAUAUGCCAUGGAACACCAAUUGCGAAGGCAGCUAGCUGGGCCUUGAUUGACGCUGAGGCACGAAAGCGUGGGUAG
rnacentral:rRNA from 1 species